rnacentral:lncRNA from 1 species
GAGAGGUAGGCCACUGGUGGCCAUUCAAGCAGGCCACUAUGCCCAUUUCAGUCACUUUUUAAUGGCCUUCAAUACAGAGUACUUCCCAGAGUACCUCCGACAUUUGAAGGAGAUGGAGUUUGCACACAUUGUUUAGGGUGAGAUGACGGUAUUAGAAUAUGCCCGAAGGAUCCUAGAGUUGGGCCAAUAUUCCUCUGAGAGCAUGAUGAAUGAAGGCAGAAAGGCAAGGAAGUUCGAGUGGGGCUUUUGCCCUGAGAUUAGACGGCAACUGUACAUAUUUGAGCUUAGUACUUAUUCAACCAUUCUGGCAAAGGCAUGUGGCUAGUGGAAAGGAACCUUCGUAUAUUUCCUCCAAUAAUAAGGAAUCCCAAAG